CCAAAUGAACUGUGAGUUGCCCUCACUACAAUAAUAAUCAAUAUGCUCCAGAGUGUAAGAGAUAUUCAUCUGUGUUUCAUUAGGCCUCCCAGUCUCCUGGAAGGACCCCAGCUGCGUGGACUCAGCUGUCCCCAUCGCGUCCGACAGCUGUGGCGUUUACGGCACUUUUUACGUGGACCUGAUUGGCAACGGUCUCAAGACCUUUAACAGUCCUGGGCGUCGCACUAAAUUGCCUCAUGGUGUGCCCCACCAGCAAGGAACUGAGACCAUCCAGAUCUUCUCUCAGCCUGUCGCAAAGACCUCGCCCCUCGGUAGCUGCGAGGCGCUACCAUGGAAACAUGCUAUACGCCCCCAGCCCAAGAUGGGUGUGCUGAGGGAGUCACGGGAAAAAACCCACAGCAAGCAAGAGUUGUAUGCAGUGAACAGCGUCCCCAUAGUGCCCACCAGGAUCCAGGCUUGUCCAUCCAGUGUGUACAAACAGAGACUCAGUCACAUACCAUCAGGCCGGCACGGUGGACAUCCACACUGGGAUAAUAUUGCUGGCUGUCCUCGACUGCUGCAAUACUCUGCAUCGUUACACCUAGUGGACAUGCUACCCCCCCCGCCACCAAUGCCCAUAGAGGACACCACGGACACACACAGCCGCACCUCGGAUGAAGGCUCCAGUCGUUCUACAAAGCUAACAGUGGACAUGGGCUCUCUCCAGUCAGUGUGUGCUGCGUCAGGCCACCGUGUGCAACCUCGACCCCCCACCACCACCACCACCACCACCAGCUGCCCCUCCUACAGCCACCUGUCCUCUACGUCAUAUUCCAUGUCAAUGGAGGACGAACAGUGUGGCACGCUGACAGCACAUGAAGCUAUCCAGUAUCUGGAGCUCAGCCCGAAACCUGAGAGAUGCAGGUAG
rnacentral:lncRNA from 1 species